GAAAGCCUGAAGGAGUGAUAGCUGGAAGUGGAGAGGUAACCUGGAGGAAAUGUCUGGGCAAAGCAGAUUAAAGGGGAGGUGGAAAUGGGUAUGUUGGGUGUUUUUUUUUUUUUUUCAAUUUCUGGGACUGUUUUAAUCUGUUCUUAUGGUGGAGGCAUCUACAUUUUAAAAGUCAUUUAUUAUCAUUUCUACUGGAGUCCAAACUUACUGCAUCA
rnacentral:lncRNA from 1 species